GAUGAACGCUGGCGGCGUGGAUAAGGCAUGCAAGUCGAGCGCCGAGCAUUCAGUUCGCUGAGUGCUCGGAGCGGCAAACGGGUCAGUAACACGUGGAUUAUCUGCCCGUGAGACUCGCAUAACUCUUCGAAAGAAGAGCUAAUUCGAGAUAGUCUGGUAAUCGAUUCUUCUUUUACCAGUAAAGGUUGGAGUAAUCCUUCCACUCACGGAAGAGUCCGCGGCCUAUCAGCUUGUUGGUGGAGUAAUGGUUCACCAAGGCUUUGACGGGUAGGUGGUCUGAGAGGAUGGUCGCCGACACUGGGACUGAGACACGGCCCAGACUCCUACGGGAGGCAGCAGCCGAGAAUAUUGCGCAAUGGGCGAAAGCCUGGACGCAGCGACGCCGCGUGCCCGAGGAAGCCCUGCGGGGUGUAAAGGGCUUUUUCCGCCGAAAAAGUUUAGACAGCAAUGUCUAUUCUGAUGGUAGGCGGAGAAUAAGGGGGGGCUAAUCGCGUGCCAGCAGCAGCGGUAAAACGUGACCCUCGAGCGUUAUCCGGAAUCACUGGGCGUAAAGCGUCCGUAGGCGGCUUGGUAAGUCUAAGGUUAAAGCCCUCGGGCUCAACCUGAGGAAGGCUUUAGAUACUAUUAAGCUAGAGGGUGUUAGGGGCUGAUGGAACUCACGGUGUAGGGGUGAAAUCCGUUGAUAUCGUGGGGAACACCAAAAGCGAAGGCAUUCAGCUGGGGCAACCCUGACGCUGAGGGACGAAAGCCAGGGGAGUGAAUGAGAUUAGAUACCUCAGUAAUCCUGGCCGUAAACGGUGGACACUAGCUAUUGCAAGUGUCGACCCUUGCAGUGGCGAAGCUAACGCGUUAAGUGUCCCGCCUGGGGAGUACAGCCGCAAGGCCG
rnacentral:rRNA from 1 species